GUGCUCACUUCAGCAGCACAUAUACUAAAAGUGGAAUGAUACAGAGAUGAUUGCGUGCAUCCUGCACAAGGAUGACACACAAAUUUGUGAACCAUUCCAUAUUUCA